UACGUAGGGACCAAGCGUUGUUCGGAUUUACUGGGCGUAAAGGGCGCGUAGGCGGCAAUUCAAGUCAGUUGUGAAAUCUCCGAGCUUAACUCGGAACGGUCAACUGAUACUGCUUUGCUAGAGUACAGAAGGGGCAAUCGGAAUUCUUGGUGUAGCGGUGAAAUGCGUAGAUAUCAAGAGGAACACCUGAGGUGAAGACGGGGUUGCUGGGCUGAUACUGACGCUGAGGCGCGAAAGCUAGGGUAGCAAACGGG
rnacentral:rRNA from 1 species